GUUCAUUUGUGAACCCAUGCUUCCUCUCAGCAUCAUAAGAAGAUCACUACAGAAGCUGAUCACCACACUUAGCUAGUGGUAUUGUAAAAUCUCUUCAUUAAUGACUUUCAUUUUUGCUUGCUUGUGUAUAAAAUUGAAUUGAAAGUUUAUAUUAUCUCAUUUGCUAACAGGUUUGCUUAAAACCCUCUUAGAAAUAACAUUUUUAUUACUUGUCAUGUUUUUUUUUAUUUACAGCAAGAUAUUUAAACACUGAAUAUAUUUUGUAGUAUUUAAUUUUUCAUUAUUUAAAACAAUGUUUAAAUCAAAUAUUCAAUUAUAUUAUGCCAUUCCUCCAAGUUCUUCAUAUUGUCUCCCAUUUUCUACCCAACUUUAAGUUCUUUGUCAAUAAAGAUACAAAAAUCCAAUUGAAAACAAACCCCUCAAAAUCAGGAAAACACAUUCAAAACAAACAAUCAGAAAACCCCAAACAAACAAUAAAGAAAACAACAAAAAUAAAAACAAAAACAAAAAAAACACCAAACAGUAACAAUGUAACAGAACAUUCAUAAACUCAGAAAACUUGAUUUGAAUUAUUUUUGAUCAACUACUGCUGAUCUUGAGGCCCAUCCUAGUUGAUGUACUAGUUUCACUCUUUCUGGAAAACUAAUUUUAUCUUUCUCAGUGGUUAUAUGUGAAAGUACAGUUGUUGACAUUUAUUCUGUUGCCUACACUUUCACUUUUUUAUUAUAUAUAUAAAUAUAUAUAUAUAUAAUAUAUACUUAUUCAUCCAUUCAUUCACUCCCUUUUAAUAUGUAAGAAAAUUAAAUAUAACAAAAUAAAGCAGAAACUAUCUAUAAUAGUAAUAUACUAAUCAAGAAUGACAUGUUUGCAACAAGGUCUACAAGUAGCUUCUGGGAACAUGCCUGCAGUUAGUUCUGAUUGGUAAAUGAAGAUGCCAGCAGCUAAUAGUUGGGGAGGAGAGACAGCUUCAGGAUUUAAGAUUCCCAGGUUUACAACCAUAAGGAAGCAGAAAGACAGAGAGACGCAAUGACUGAGAGGUGUGCUGAAGAGAAAAGCAGAGCCACUAUGUAAAGGAUUCAGGAGAACAUGGCCUGGAGAGCUGCUUAAAGUCAAGGGCAGCCAAAACAGAGUGAAAAAUAUAGUAAAUAGUAACCCAGAAUUAUCUGUGAAAGCAAGAGAAUAACAGCAUAGGGAUUACACAGUUGCUCAGUUACUGUGCUACUUAAAUCAUAUUAAAUAUAAAGGCUGUAUGCUUUUCAUUCAUAAACAUAAACUAUUGAAGCUGAUAGUCAUCAAUAUGAUAUUUAUUUAAAAAUAAAUACUACAACUAUGAAAUUGGCAUUGGGCAAGGAAAAUCAACAGAAGAUGUGAGCCUAAGACAAGGCACAAUAAUACAAGGCUUAAUUUGUAUACUCAGUCAUACGAUAAAAUCCCUUAAUUGGAAGUCAUAGUAUUUGUGAGAAGAGCCUAGUAUAUUACCAAAGACCCUGGAAUGUUCCACUGUAAGUUCUAUAUUGGCACUGAAUUGACGUCUCCACUUUAAUAAAAUUUCUAGGAAUGGUCAUCAACAAUGGGGCUUGCUAUAACUGUAGCAAGGCCCUAUAGGAGAGGACCCUAUAGUUUUGGCUACAAUUUGGGUUUUUUGAAAUUUCUGUUUUUAUUAUGACAGUCCUUUUGGCCCAGGACUCAAUUAAAUGUAAACCAAUUCCAGUGUUGGAACCUUUGUUUGGUGACAAGUGAUGGCCUGUGGAGAUCAAUUAUUUGGUAAUUUCAUUUAGAUCACACACACACACACACACACACACACACACACACACACACACACACACAUUCUAUCUAGUGCCCCCUUAUUUUAAGCUAUUUCUACUGUAUUCCUUUCCACAAUUCACUCUCCUCACCUUAGCUGUUUCUCCCUGUUUUCUCUUCCACAACCUCCUCUCUUCCUCCAUAUCAUACACCAAUUGAUUCCAGCCCAAUUCCCAAUCUGUUCAUUUUGUCUAGUCCCUUACUUAUGUCAGUAUAGGCUUUACAAAACUUGUACAUUAUCUGAUAUUUUUUUUAAAAAAGAACAAAUACUAUUUUACCUAAUGACUGCCUUGAACAGAACAUCUGGGACAAUGUCAGAUGGAGGUGGCAUCAAUGUGUAACAGAUGAUAUUUAUAAUUCCAGAUAUACUGAUGUAUUUAUUAUCUAUCAUCUAUCUAUCUAUCUAUCUAUCUAUCUAUCUAUCUAUCUAUCUAUCUAUCAAUCUAUCUACCUAGCCUCUACCUAAAUAUUAGUUUCCAUAUAUGUUUAGGGAAUUUCAGUUUUGUAACUAUUAUUUGAGUUAUUUUUUUCAAAAUCAAGAAAGUGGCUAGGGAUUUUCAAAGACUUUUAUUUUAUUUUACUGAACAUGAAAUGAUCGUGUAAUUCUUUGUCAUUACCUGUAUUAAUGUAGUACUUAACAUGAGCUCUUUAUAUAUGUUAAGCUAGUCCUACAUAUUUAGGUCACAUUUACAAUAUUAUAGUAUAAAAGCUUCUCUAUCUGUUGUAUGGUUUGUAUUGUAUUUGUUACUAUAUAUCUUCAUUUUGUAUUAUUAUUUGAUGUUUUUCAUGGAAUAUAUUUUAAUUAUUAUCUUUCAACUUUUCCAACUACUCCCGGAUCUUCAUGUCUCCCUACCAAUAAAAUUUCAUCC
rnacentral:lncRNA from 1 species